rnacentral:rRNA from 1 species
UACAGAGGUCCCAAGCGUUGUUCGGAUUCACUGGGCGUAAAGGGUGCGUAGGUGGUUGGGCAAGUCUGAUGUGAAAUCUCCGGGCUUAACUCCGAAACUGCAUUCGAUACUGCCGUGCUUGAGGACUGGAGAGGAGACUGGAAUUUACGGUGUAGCGGUGAAAUGCGUAGAUAUCGUAAGGAAGACCAGUGGCGAAGGCGGGUCUCUGGACAGUUCCUGACGCUGAGGCACGAAGGCCAGGGGAGCAAACGGG